rnacentral:rRNA from 1 species
GCCUCAUCCUCUUCUCCGGCGCCGCCACCCCACCCCUUCUAUCGAGCGGUGUUGCCUCUCCUUCCCGGGACGGGGAGGGGGACGGGAAAGGGAGGCCCGAGGGCGGCAAGUUCCGUCAGAUGGUAGUGGCCGUCGCCUCGGAGGGCGCAGGGGAGGCGCGCUGCUCGCGUCGCUCACGGAGCCUUGAGAGGCGCUCUUGUUCUGCACGGAGGACGCCGGGGGCUACUUCCCCGUCGAGUCCGCCGCCCGGGCGCUUGUGCGGCUGGCCGAUGCCGAGGUCGCCAGCCCCGACGAGAUGCUGCUCGCCGUGCGCGCCAUCACCUGCAGCUGGUUGGAUAUUAGUUAUGAAGGUUGUCCCUGGAUUUUUGCUCUAUCGAGGACUGCAUGAGCUUGGUCAAUAUGCAUUCUUGGAAAUUCUCUGGGAGCCAGCCAUAAAGAAGGAAUUCCUAUUGUAUCCUGUGGCAUUCUUAGUUAGGAAUUUGUUAUUGCCAUCAGAAGGUGUACUACUUGACCAUGCAGAAUACAAGGUGUCACGAUGAUUUGAUGAGCUUGACCACGUCAUCCCUGCCAGUGCCGAUUAGCUCAGCCUUGGUGGCGGCGGGCUCCUGGACCACCUCAAGCAGGCGCCUGCUGCAGCGGCCGACAUGUGAGGGGCAAAUUAUAUUUCAAUGAUACAAAUGGCUGAUGUUAGUUUUGGUAUAUAUGUGGUCAAGAAGGUUGUCAAGUAGUGAUGGCCUCAGAUUUGUUAUGGGGCAGUUUUUUUUAAUAGAGCGCUUCUUGCGCACAAGCACUGGAACCAUCGGUCUAUGACAUACAUGAUUCUCUAUAACUUCUACCAGAAUGCUUUCUUUGUGUUAAUGCUCUUCUGGUACGUAUUCCCACCUCUGUGUGUUUCUCAUAUGAUGUAAGCUCAGUAUAUCUGUGUUACCUUUGUUACCUGUCACCUACAAUUUGACUAUCCAAAUGUAUGAAUAUACGGAAGCAUCAUCCCGCACUCCCUUUUGGCCUUUUUGGACCCCUUGUAAUGUACACUGGUCUAAUUAAGUUCUUAAUGAAUUGAUUUAGGCACACUACAUAUUCUGUAACUCUUGUGCUGAUAGAUUAGAGUACUGCUUUCCAUUCCAUUAUCUGCACAUCAGUACCCACAGUAGUGGUUGAUAUUCUAGAGGACUUACUCAUAAUAGUCAUAAUACCCUUCUUUAUUGUCUGAGACUAUUGAGGCAAAGCUUCAAAAUGAGAGCUACAACCUGACACUCUUCUGAAACAUAAUGGUAGAUACCUUGUAACAUAGCCUUGUCCUUUCCUAUGUACAUUUCUUCACAUAAAAUAUCAGUUCUGUUUCAUGUAGCAGUCUUCUUUGUUAGUAAUGUUCCAUGUUUCUGUUUACAUGUACGUUCAUUAAUUUUCCCGUUUGAACCCCCUUAAUUAGUAAGGUGAUCUCACAAGCUUGGGUCCUAAACCACAAGAGCUCGAGAAAGUCGUCAUACAUUCCUUCUGUAGUGCACUAGCAACCUCGGAUACAAGUACCAGUGGUGGUUUCUCUGUUCAUAGGAGACAUGCUGAAGACUGUCUUCCUCGGACGGUUAGCAUUGCAAGCACUUUUUGACUCCACUUGAUGUCUACAAAAUUUCUGGCUUAUUGAAUGAUAUGGUUACUUGCAAGACAUGUCGUAGAAUCCACAUAGAACCGAGUGGCAUUUUCCUCACAUUUCAUGGUGAUUUUAAUUUGAGCAUUCAGCUUGAAUACCCUUUAAACUUUCCGUCGUUGUGCUCUUAUAGUUUUGGUGUAGCACUUCAUGUCACAACUGAAUGUUGAAUUCUUACCACUGCAGAAACUUCAACAUAUACUGAUUCAUUAGAUAAUGAGUAUGUGUGAGCUCUUGUUGUCUUUCUGGUUGAAUGUUGAAUUCUUACCACUGCAGAAACUUGCAACAUAUACUGAUUCAUUAGAUAAUGAGUAUGUGUGAACUCUCUCUGUCUUUCUGGUUCUACCUCAUGCCAUCAGUGUUUUGUGUUUCAGAUGCCCUAAUCUCCCUUGUAUUUAAGCGUCAUUUAUUAGCUCUUCCGAAAUUUGUCGCCAAAGUAAGUGGAAUGGGCGCUUUCAACCUGGCACCGCCCAGAUUUCUCUCAAGAGGCGCCACUAGGUGGCGCCCCAACCCCUAGUGUGCAUGAAAGGCAGACACACUCCGGCUGAGGUUAACUAUAUCUACACACGAAGUCGGGCGAGCACGCAACUGUACACGUUUGUUGGCUGGGCGCAACUACAGUCUAUAGUUGUACACCUGCCGUCCGCAUACAACUUCUUUUUUGCGAGUGUCCGCAUACAACUACAAUUGCACAUUCCUCAUUGGCCACACGCAAGUACAAUUGCACAUGCAAUACAUGUUUUACAAUUGGGCUGCUAGAUUUUUAAGUUGUAGUAUUUAUGUUUUUCAUAUUUAUGAAAAUAUAUUAGAACAUUAGAUCUCAUGCAAUACAUGUUUUAAAUUAUCGUAACAUCUAUAGCCAUAUAUGAAAAUGCACAUAUUUGAAACAACCAUCUGAGGGACAGACUUUAUGUCACACAACGACUACUUUUCCGUGUCAAAGACCGCUUAGUGGCCAGUAACGCGCGACUUGAAUUUUUUCUAUUACACUAUACCUUUUUAAACAAAACUAGAUAAUUGCCUGUGCCUUGUAAGGAUAUAAAUAUUCUAAUAGUAUGUUAGUUCAGGAUUUACCUGCUCAUAUUGAUGUGAUUAUGUAAAUAAAUGUUUAUCAAAUCAAUGUCAUAAUUUACCUAUCUAAAUAAAUUUAGUAUUUUAUUUGGUAAGAACUAACUGAGUUAACAAAAAAACAUAAAUUUAUUUGGUAAGUCAAUAAAAUGUGGGAUAGUUAAGACCGUUUCAAGAAAAACCGGUAAAAACAAGAGAUCAGAGGGGGAAAAUCAAAACAAAGAGAGGAAGAGGAAAACGUAGGUAAGGUUUGAUGAAGCACCAUGCCUAAUAAUUGGUGUUUUUUUAAUCCUAUCCCCAACUAUGGUGUUAUUUUGUAAUUUUAUCCUCGGCCCAAUAUAAAUUAUAGCUAUGCCUAUUAGAAAUACAAAUCUCUAUCUCUAUCUCUACUACUUAAAAGGAAUCCAAGGUUUCCCCUCCGGUCUUGCGUUCUCAUUUUCUUCCGCCUCCAACCCGUUUGGAUUUUUUACCACCUCCCAUGAUUACAAUUUUUUUCUUACCGAAACGUUGUUUUCUCACAUGUUUAUCAAUCGUAACCCUUUCCCUCUUCCCGCCUUGCGCGAACUGGUGUCUCAGUGAGAUCGGGUGGGUGGGCGUGCCUCAUGCAGGAUUUGGUCUGGAUGAUGCUCCUAUCCUCGAGAGCUCGACGCUGAGGGCGAUCCACCGCUGCCACUGCCAGCCUUCUGAUCCACAACUGACAGACAUGUCUCGAGAUCACCAUGCGCCUAGGGCUUCAUGCACCAUGCAAAGGGACGUGGCCACUAUGACGAGGCUGUGCAGCUCACCUCCAAGCACAUGUCCAAGGUAAGCUUGGCUACUCCUUAGGCUUUGUGAUGAACAUGUUUUCUUCAGUUUUCAGGAUGGUCAUGUUGACGAUUUCAAGAUCUUGAUUGCAAGGUAAAACCAAACUCUGUCCAAUAAAAAAUUGGCAUAGCUUAACAUGCUCAGAAGGGUAAGCUUAUUUCAUUGGAGUUAUCACGUCCAAUAUUCAGAAGAGGAUAUUCAUGUUGAUGCAUUAUCCAUAAUUAUUCUCGUUGUAAGGACGUGAUUCCAAGGGGGUCAUGGAAAGUUUGGAUUUACUUUUGUUAUGGGAAGCUUGCAUCAGUUGUUGCAGAAAAAAUGCAUUGCUCAUAAAGAAGUAUUCUGGGCUUUUGAGAUAUAAAUUCUGGUGUUUAGAUAUUCUAUAUUUUAGAACCUAAUGUUGCAUACCGAGCACUAUUUUUGCCAGUUGAAAGCUCCACCGGGUGCCUUCUACAGAGUAGUUAGUUGCCAGACUCCAUUGUUAUUGUAUUUCUUAGCUAUUCGAGGUGUAUAUAAUAGUGUAAAUGCUUCAUAAAAUAACAAAAAUGUAUUGAAUGCAUAAUAGAACUGUAUAGCGUUUGCCCUUGGAGAAACUUGUAUGGAGUCAUAUUGUGAUCUUCUAGAUUUAUGUUAUGAUGUUACAAGCUCAAAA